rnacentral:rRNA from 1 species
UACGUAGGGUGCGAGCCGUUGUUCGGAAUCACUGGGCGUAAAAGGGCGCGUAGGCGGCCCUCUUGUCGCGUGUGAAAGCCCGGGCUCAACCCUGGGAACGGCGCGCGAGACGGGAGGGCUGGAGUUCGGAGAGGAGCGUGGAAUUCCCAGUGUAGAGGUGAAAGUGACGUAGAUAUCAGGAGGAACACCGAUGGCGAAGGCAGGUCUCUGGGCUGACACUGACGCUCAAUGCACGGAAAAGCGUGGGGGAGCAAAACAGGA